rfam:Oryza sativa (indica cultivar-group) chromosome 1, whole genome shotgun sequence.
AAAAAGACAAAUCCUAAAUUUCCGUGUCCAAUUUUAAUUAUCUGUUUUAUAUGAAAUUUUUUUAUAAUUCGUAUUUUUAUUGUUGGUAGAUAAUAAAACAUGAUUAAUAUUUUAUGCGUAACUUGUCUUUUUAAUUUUUUUUAUAAUUUUUUUAAAUAAGACGGACGGUCAAAUGUUGGACAUGGAAAUCAAGGUUUGUCUUUUUU